UACGUAGGGGGCAAGCGUUGGUCCGGAAUCAUUGGGCGUAAAGGGCGCGUAGGUGGUUUGAUAAGGGUGUGGUGAAAGUCCGGGGCUCAACCCCAGAUCUGCCAAGGCGACUGUAGGGCUAGGGCACCGUAGAGGCAGAUGGAAUUCCGGGUGUAGCGGUGAAAUGCGUUGAUAUCGGAAGGAACGCCGGUGGCGAAAGCGCACGACUGGACCUCUUCUGACGCUGAGGCGCGAAAGCCCAGGGGGAGC
rnacentral:rRNA from 1 species